rnacentral:rRNA from 1 species
AUUGAACGCUGGCGGCAGGCCUAACACAUGCAAGUCGAGCGGAUGAAGGGAGCUUGCUCCUGGAUUCAGCGGCGGACGGGUGAGUAAUGCCUAGGAAUCUGCCUGGUAGUGGGGGAUAACGUCCGGAAACGGGCGCUAAUACCGCAUACGUCCUGAGGGAGAAAGUGGGGGAUCUUCGGACCUCACGCUAUCAGAUGAGCCUAGGUCGGAUUAGCUAGUUGGUGGGGUAAAGGCCUACCAAGGCGACGAUCCGUAACUGGUCUGAGAGGAUGAUCAGUCACACUGGAACUGAGACACGGUCCAGACUCCUACGGGAGGCAGCAGUGGGGAAUAUUGGACAAUGGGCGAAAGCCUGAUCCAGCCAUGCCGCGUGUGUGAAGAAGGUCUUCGGAUUGUAAAGCACUUUAAGUUGGGAGGAAGGGCAGUAAGUUAAUACCUUGCUGUUUUGACGUUACCAACAGAAUAAGCACCGGCUAACUUCGUGCCAGCAGCCGCGGUAAUACGAAGGGUGCAAGCGUUAAUCGGAAUUACUGGGCGUAAAGCGCGCGUAGGUGGUUCAGCAAGUUGGAUGUGAAAUCCCCGGGCUCAACCUGGGAACUGCAUCCAAAACUACUGAGCUAGAGUACGGUAGAGGGUGGUGGAAUUUCCUGUGUAGCGGUGAAAUGCGUAGAUAUAGGAAGGAACACCAGUGGCGAAGGCGACCACCUGGACUGAUACUGACACUGAGGUGCGAAAGCGUGGGGAGCAAACAGGAUUAGAUACCCUGGUAGUCCACGCCGUAAACGAUGUCGACUAGCCGUUGGGAUCCUUGAGAUCUUAGUGGCGCAGCUAACGCGAUAAGUCGACCACGGGGGA